rnacentral:rRNA from 1 species
GACGAACGCUGGCGGCGUGCUUAACACAUGCAAGUCGAACGAUGAAGCCCAGCUUGCUGGGUGGAUUAGUGGCGAACGGGUGAGUAACACGUGAGCAACGUGCCCGAAACUCUGGAAUAACCACCGGAAACGGUGGCUAAUACUGGAUAUGUGCCAGGGAGGCAUCUCCUCUGGUUGGAAAGAUUUUUCGGUUUCGGAUCGGCUCACGGCCUAUCAGCUUGUUGGCGGGGUAAAGGCCCACCAAGGCGACGACGGGUAGCCGGCCUGAGAGGGUGACCGGCCACACUGGGACUGAGACACGGCCCAGACUCCUACGGGAGGCAGCAGUGGGGAAUAUUGCACAAUGGGCGCAAGCCUGAUGCAGCAACGCCGCGUGAGGGAUGACGGCCUUCGGGUUGUAAACCUCUUUUAGUAGGGAAGAAGCGAAAGUGACGGUACCUGCAGAAAAAGCACCGGCUAACUACGUGCCAGCAGCCGCGGUAAUACGUAGGGUGCAAGCGUUGUCCGGAAUUAUUGGGCGUAAAGAGCUCGUAGGCGGUUUGUCGCGUCUGCUGUGAAAUCCCGAGGCUCAACCUCGGGCCUGCAGUGGGUACGGGCAGACUUGAGUGCGGUAGGGGAGAUUGGAAUUCCUGGUGUAGCGGUGGAAUGCGCAGAUAUCAGGAGGAACACCGAUGGCGAAGGCAGAUCUCUGGGCCGUUACUGACGCUGAGGAGCGAAAGCAUGGGGAGCGAACAGGAUUAGAUACCCUGGUAGUCCAUGCCGUAAACGUUGGGCGCUAGAUGUGGGGACCAUUCCACGGUUUCUGUGUCGUAGCUAACGCAUUAAGCGCCCCGCCUGGGGAGUACGGCCGCAAGGCUAAAACUCAAAGGAAUUGACGGGGGCCCGCACAAGCGGCGGAGCAUGCGGAUUAAUUCGAUGCAACGCGAAGAACCUUACCAAGGCUUGACAUAUACCGGAAACUUCCAGAGAUGGUUGCCCUGCUUGCAGUCGGUAUACAGGUGGUGCAUGGUUGUCGUCAGCUCGUGUCGUGAGAUGUUCGGUUAAGUCCGGCAACGAGCGCAACCCUCGUCCUAUGUUGCCAGCACGUUAUGGUGGGAACUCAUGGGAUACUGCCGUGGUCAACACGGAGGAAGGUGGGGAUGACGUCAAAUCAUCAUGCCCCUUAUGUCUUGGGCUUCACGCAUGCUACAAUGGCCGGUACAAUGGGCUGCGAUACCGCGAGGUGGAGCGAAUCCCAAAAAGCCGGUCUCAGUUCGGAUUGGGGUCUGCAACUCGACCCCAUGAAGUCGGAGUCGCUAGUAAUCGCAGAUCAGCAACGCUGCGGUGAAUACGUUCCCGGGCCUUGUACACACCGCCCGUCAAGUCAUGAAAGUCGGUAACACCCGAAGCCGGUGGCCUAACCCUUGUGGAGGGAGCUGUCGAAGGUGGGAUCGGUGAUUAGGACUAAGUCGUAACAAGGUAGCCGUACCGGAAGG